CUUCAUUCAACUCUACAGCACCACCUUCAUUCAACUCUACAGCACCACCUAAAAUCAACUCAACAGCACCACCUUCAUUUAAUUCUACAGCACCACCUCAAAUUAACUCUGCUGCACCACCUUCAUUUAAUUCUACAGCACCACCUCUUUUUAACUCUACAGCACUAGCUAAUAUCAACUCCACAGCGCCAGCUUCAUUCAAUUCUACAACACCAGCUAAAAUCAACUCCACAGCGCCACCUCCAUUCGACUCUACCACAGGCUUUCCCAAAGAUGUUCUUACAAUACUGACUAAUCUGGAGGUGGAGGUUUUGGCUGAAGAUUCAUCCACUGAAGAAGAGCGUCAGGCUGCACUGCGUCAGGUUGCCACUUUGGUGGAGAACUACUUAAGAGGAGAUUAUAAUGACAUCUCCUCCUUUGAGGUCACAAGAAUUGAGCCGUUAACACCCUGUGAUUGAGUCAGAAAUCAGCCAAGAUGAACAGAGAUGAAUACAUCUGCACAUAUACUGGACUUUAAUUAUUUUACCACACUGUAAAACCCAAUAUGUUAAGGUAACUCAAACCAUUUGAGUUCAAAACUAAUCCAAAUGAGUACUGUGAACUUAAUCCAUUUGAGUAAAUGAAGCGAUAUGAGCACAGUGAAACCCUAUAAAUGAAGAGAACUCAAACCAACUGAGUACUGUAAAAACCCAAUAAGUUAAGGCAACUCAAAUCGUUUGAGGCAACCGAUUGCUACAAACCAUUUGAGUUAAAAAAACUAAUCGAUAUGAGUAUUGUCAACUUACUCUAUUUAAGUUGAAGUAAUGAGGUAUUUAAUUAACUUAUUGCCUUCAAAACUGAGUUCAAAACUCUCAUACAUUAAUUCAGUCUCACAUCAUCAGACGUCAUUCAUUCAAUUUCUUUUCGGCUUAUUCCCUUUAUUAAUCCGGGGUCGCCACAGCGGAAUGAACCGCCAACUUAUCCAGCACGUUUUACGCAGCGGAUGCCCUUCCAGCCGCAACCCAUCUCUGGGGAAAAAAAAACUCUUUUCAAAUGAGUAGAAUUAACUUUCUGUAAAUUUUGAGUUAACUACACUUCAUUUCAUAAGGUUGACUGUUGGGUUUUACAGUGUAAGAUUUCUGAUUAUUUACGGUGACUGUUUAACAAAAACAUUGCACUU